AGAGUUUGAUCCUGGCUCAGAUUGAACGCUGGCGGCAUGCCUUACACAUGCAAGUCGAACGGCAGCGCGGGGCAACCUGGCGGCGAGUGGCGAACGGGUGAGUAAUAUAUCGGAACGUACCCUGGAGUGGGGGAUAACGUAGCGAAAGUUACGCUAAUACCGCAUACGAUCUAAGGAUGAAAGUGGGGGAUCGCAAGACCUCAUGCUCCUGGAGCGGCCGAUAUCUGAUUAGCUAGUUGGCGGGGUAAAAGCCCACCAAGGCAACGAUCAGUAGCUGGUCUGAGAGGACAACCAGCCACACUGGAACUGAGACACGGUCCAGACUCCUACGGGAGGCAGCAGUGGGGAAUUUUGGACAAUGGGCGCAAGCCUGAUCCAGCAAUGCCGCGUGAGUGAAGAAGGCCUUCGGGUUGUAAAGCUCUUUUGUCAGGGAAGAAACGGUGGGGGC
rnacentral:rRNA from 1 species